rnacentral:misc_RNA from 1 species
AACGCACAUUGCGCCCGCCAGUAUUCUGGCGGGCAUGCCUGUUCGAGCGUCAUUUCAACCAUCAAGCCCCCGGCUUGUGUUGGGGCCCUGCGGCGACGCAGGCCCUGAAAACCAGUGGCGGGCUCGCUGUCCACACCGAGCGUAGUAGCAUUCCUGUCUCGCUCAGGGCGUGUAGCGGGUUCCGGCCGUUAAAGCCACCUAUAAGGUACCCAAAGGUUGACCUCGGAUCAGGUAGGAAGACCCGCUGAACUUAA